rnacentral:rRNA from 1 species
UACGUAGGGAGCAAGCGUUAUCCGGAAUUAUUGGGUGUAAAGGGUGCGUAGACGGGAAAUUAAGUUAGUUGUGAAAUCCCUCGGCUCAACUGAGGAACUGCAACUAAAACUGAUUUUCUUGAGUGCAGUAGAGGUUAGUGGAAUUCCUAGUGUAGCGGUGGAAUGCGUAGAUAUUAGGAGGAACACCGGCGGCGAAGGCGGCCUGCUGGACCGCGACUGACGUUGAGGCUCGAAAGCGUGGGGAGCGAACAGG